UGAAUACGAGAUGCUACGGCGUCGAAGCAGUCUAUGUCAUACUUCCAAGAAAAGCUUGCACUGUCAUAAACAAAUAAUGCCUGUACCAUAACCGACACAGGUGGGUAGGUAGAGUAUACUAAGGGGCGCGAGAUAACUCUCUCUAAGGAACUCGGCAAAAUGACUCCGUAACUUCGGGAGAAGGAGUGCCUUAUUUAUAAGGUUGCAAUAACAAGAUCCAAGCAACUGUUUAUCAAAAACACAGGUCUCCGCUAAGUCGUAAGACGAUGUAUGGGGGCUGACGCCUGCCCAGUGCCAGAAGGUUAAAGAAGUUGGUUAGUGUAUGCGAAGCUGAUGACUGAAGCCCUGGUGAACGGCGGCCGUAACAAUAACGGUCCUAAGGUAGCGAAAUUCCUUGUCGGGUAAGUUCCGACCCGCACGAAAGGCGUAAUGAUUUGGAUACUGUCUCGGAGAGAGGCUCGGUGAAAUAGACUUGUCUGUGAAGAUGCGGACUACCUGCACCAGGACAGAAAGACCCUAUGAAGCUUUACUGUAACUUGAAAUUGGAAUUGGACUUUGCUUGCGCAGUAUAGGUGGGAAGCGUUGAAGAUAUUCUUGCGGGAGUAUUGGAGCUAUCAGUGAGAUACCACUCUUGUAAUGUUAGAUUUCUAACUUUGAACCAUAAUCUGGUCAAAGAACAGUUUCAGGUGGGCAGUUUGACUGGGGCGGUCGCCUCCCAAAUGGUAACGGAGGCGUACAAAGGUUUCCUCUGAACGGAUAGAAAUCGUAUCUAGAGUGUAAAGGCAUAAGGAAGCUUGACUGUGAGACCUACAAGUCGAGCAGGGACGAAAGUCGGUCUUAGUGAUCUGACGGUACUGAGUGGAAAGGCCGUCACUCAACGGAUAAAAGUUACUCUAGGGAUAACAGGCUGAUCUCCCCCAAGAGUUCACAUCGACGGGGAGGUUUGGCACCUCGAUGUCGGCUCAUCGCAUCCUGGGGCGGUAGUACGUCCCAAGGGUUGGGCUGUUCGCCCAUGAAAGCGGUACGCGAGCUGGGUUCAGAACGUCGUGAGACAGUUCGGUCCAUAUCCGGUGUAGGCGUUAGAAUAUUGAGAGGAGCCUUCUUUAGUACGAGAGGACCGAGAAGGACACACCGCUGGUGUACCAGUUAUCGUGCCAACGGUAAACGCUGGGUAGCUAUGUGUGGAGUGGAUAACCGCUGAAAGCAUCUAAGUGGGAAGCCCACCUCAAGAUGAG
rnacentral:rRNA from 1 species